rnacentral:rRNA from 1 species
UUGACCUCGGAUCAGGUAGGGAUACCCGCUGAACUUAAGCAUAUCAAUAAGCGGAGGAAAAGAAACCAACAGGGAUUGCCCUAGUAACGGCGAGUGAAGCGGCAACAGCUCAAAUUUGAAAUCUGGCUCUUUUAGAGUCCGAGUUGUAAUUUGCAGAGGGCGCUUUGGCUUUGGCAGCGGUCCAAGUUCCUUGGAACAGGACGUCACAGAGGGUGAGAAUCCCGUACGUGGUCGCUAGCUAUUGCCGUGUAAAGCCCCUUCGACGAGUCGAGUUGUUUGGGAAUGCAGCUCUAAAUGGGAGGUAAAUUUCUUCUAAAGCUAAAUACUGGCCAGAGACCGAUAGCGCACAAGUAGAGUGAUCGAAAGAUGAAAAGCACUUUGGAAAGAGAGUCAAACAGCACGUGAAAUUGUUGAAAGGGAAGCGCUUGCAGCCAGACUUGCUUGCAGUUGCUCACCCGGGCCUCUGUGCCCGGUGCAUUCUUCUGCAGGCAGGCCAGCAUCAGUUUGGGCGGUGGGAUAAAGGUCUCUGUCACGUACCUCUCUUCGGGGAGGCCUUAUAGGGGAGGCGACAUACCACCAGCCUGGACUG